rnacentral:rRNA from 1 species
CCUACGGGUGGCAGCAGUGGGGAAUAUUGGACAAUGGGGGAAACCCUGAUGCAGCGACGCCGCGUGAGUGAAGAAGGAGUUCGGUAUGUAAAGCUCUAGCAGCAGGAAAGAAAAUGACGGUACCUGACUAAGAAGCCCCGGCUAACUACGUGCCAGCAGCCGCGGUAAUACGUAGGGGGCAAGCGUUAUCCGGAUUUACUGGGUGUAAAGGGAGCGUAGACGGCAGCGCAAGUCUGGAGUGAAAUGCCGGGGCCCCACCCCGGAACUGCUCUGGAAACUGUGAAGCUGGAGUGCAGGAGAGGUACGCGGAAUUCCUGGUGUAGCGGUGACAUGCGUAGAUCUCAGGAGGAACCCCGGCGGCGAAGGCGGCUUACUGGACUGUAACUGACGUUGAGGCUCGAAUGCGUGGGGAGCAAACCGGCUUAGAUACCCUAGUAGUC